rnacentral:tRNA from 1 species
GGGGAUUUAGCUCAUUGGCUCAAGCGUUUGCCUGGUAAGCACAAGGCCGUGAGUUCAAACCCCAGUACCCCCCA